GAUGAAGAACGCAGCAAAAUGCGAUAAGUAAUGCGAAUUGCAGAAUUUCCGUGAGUCAUCGAAUCUUUGAACGCACAUUGCGCCCGCCAGUAUUCUGGCGGGCAUGCCUGUUCGAGCGUCAUUACAACCCUCAGGCCCCCGGGCCUGGCGUUGGGGAUCGGCGGAGCCCCCCGUGGGCACACGCCGUCCCCCAAAUACAGUGGCGGUCCCGCCGCAGCUUCCAUCGCGUAGUAGCUAACACCUCGCGACUGGAGAGCGGCGCGGCCACGCCGUAAAACACCCAACUCUUCUGAAGUUGACCUCGAAUCAGGUAGGAAUACCCGCUGAACUUAAGCAUAUCAAUAAGCGGAGGA
rnacentral:misc_RNA from 1 species